AGCGUAUAUUAAAGUUGUUGCAGUUAAAAAGCUCGUAGUUGAAUUUCGGGAUCAAUAUGUCGGUCGUGCCUUCGGUACGUACUGGCAUCAUUGGUUUCUCCCUUCUGACAAACCAUGAUGUCAUUAAUUUGGUGUUAUGGGGAGUUAGGACUGUUACUUUGAAAAAAUUAGAGUGUUUAAAGCAGGCAUUAGCUUGAAUACAUUAGCAUGGAAUAAUGAAAUAGGACGUUUGACCCUAUUUUGUUGGUUUCUAGGAUCGACGUAAUGAUUAAUAGGGAUAGUUGGGGGCAUUAGUAUUCAAUUGUCAGAGGUGAAAUUCUUGGAUUUAUUGAAGACUAACUACUGCGAAAGCAUUUGCCAAGGAUGUUUUCAUUAAUCAAGAACGAAAGUUAGGGGAUCGAAGACGAUCAGGUACCGUCGUAGUCUUAACCAUAAAC
rnacentral:rRNA from 1 species